GGUCAUUUGGACAGAGGAGGAGAAAGUGGCUGUGUUAACCAAAGCCCAUGCAGGCCAUUUUGGACCACGGAGGAUGCAAGCGAAGAUUGCUCCCCGGUUUUAUUGGCGGUCCAUCACACAGGACACAUUGGAUUGGGUGCGCACAUGUCCUGACUGCCAGCGCUUUGAAAAAUGAAAGACCGAGGCGCCUGAGCUGAAGCCCAUCAAGGUCGUAUCACCUUGGUACAUGGUUGGUGUGGACCUUUUUGGACCUGUGAAAAAGUCGUCUAAGGGGAACAGAUAUUGUCUCACUUUGACCGAUUAUUUCACCAAGUGGGUUGAAGCAAGAACAUUCCCAAAAAAGACAGCAGCCAAUGUGAAGGAGGUAUUCUUUAUAUUUUGGUGUUUCACUUACCCAUGGCCAUAAUCAGAAAGGGAAAAAGCCACUA